AUUCCAGCUCCAUAGCGUAUACUAAAGUUGUUGCAGUUAAAAAGCUCGUAGUUGAAUUUCUGGUCGUGGCGAUCGGUCCGCCCCUCACGGGGUGUGCACCUGGUCUCUACGUCCAUCCUCGGGGAGAGCGCGUCUGGCAUUCAGUUGUCGGGCGCGGGAUCCUCGUCAUUUACUGUGAGCAAAAUAGAGUGUUCAAAGCAGGCUUAGGCCGUUGAAUACAUUAGCAUGGAAUAAUAAGAUAGGACCUUGGUCUAUUUUGUUGGUUUGCAUUCCAAGGUAAUGAUUAAUAGGGAUAGUUGGGGGUAUUCGUAUUCAAUUGUCAGAGGUGAAAUUCUUGGAUUUAUGGAAGACGAACUACUGCGAAAGCAUUUACCAAGGAUGUUUUCAUUA
rnacentral:rRNA from 1 species